UCGAGCGAGUGGAGUUCUUCGGAACAAAGCUAGCGGCGGACGGCUGUGUAACACGUGGGCAACCUGCCUCAUAGAGGGGAAUAGCCUCCCGAAAGGGAGAUUAAUACCGCAUAGGAUUGUAGCUUCGCAUGAAGUAGCAAUUAAAGGAGCAAUCCGCUAUGAGAUGGGCCCGCGGCGCAUUAGCUAGUUGGUGAGGUAACGGCUCACCAAGGCGACGAUGCGUAGCCGACCUGAGAGGGUGAUCGGCCACAUUGGGACUGAGACACGGCCCAGACUCCUACGGGAGGCAGCAGUGGGGAAUAUUGCACAAUGGGGGAAACCCUGAUGCAGCAACGCCGCGUGAGUGAUGACGGCCUUCGGGUUGUAAAGCUCUGCCUUCAGGGACGAUAAUGACGGUACCUGAGGAGGAAGCCACGGCUAACUACGUGCCAGCAGCCGCGGUAAUACGUAGGUGGCGAGCGUUGUCCGGAUUUACUGGGCGUAAAGGGAGCGUAGGCGGACUUUUAAGUGAGAUGUGAAAUACCCGGGCUCAACUUGGGUGCUGCAUUUCAAACUGGAAGUCUAGAGUGCAGGAGAGGAGAAUGGAAUUCCUAGUGUAGCGGUGAAAUGCGUAGAGAUUAGGAAGAACACC
rnacentral:rRNA from 1 species